GCUAAACCAACCGAAGACGAAAGUAGUUCCGAUAGCCUGGAUGUAUUGAAAGGAGCCGAAUUGAUUUAUAUUUGAAUUGUAAUUCCAAAAAAGAUACAAAAAUUUGAACUACGCUCCACCAGAUUAUACAAAUUGCACAUCCAAAGUGAAACACACUUACAUUGACACUUUCUGUUCUUCCGUACAUCCGACGAUACGUUCUACAUGCAUAGUAUAAAUGCCAAACCAUCAACGAGACUUAUAUAUGAAAACAUUUUCCUUUUUACAUUUAUGUUUAAAUGGAAAAUCAACCAAUGCUGUGUUUAUUUAAUGAUUUUAUGCAGUCGAAGAAAGUAUUUUUAUUAAUAAGUGAAUUUAUCACAAAUAUUCCAAAUGAUAUGAAACCCAAAGUGGAGUAAUUAUCCGGUAAUUUCUAUAAUAUAGAAAUGACAUUUUCUAAUAAGUCUUAUACAAAUGGCUACUGCUAAAUUUUGAAGAAUAUUGAUGGAAUAAUAGAAUGACUAGUGAUAAUGAUGUUUAAACCGUCUUUGUUACUUGUAAAGCUGUUCUUUCGGACGUAUGAUAGCUAGGGAUUAUUUCGCGUAUGACACACACUUGCGUAUUACUGGAUCGAAAAUCACGGAAGGAAUGACUUCCCCUGAUUAAAUUAAUCCCACGUCGUCCCGUUAGAAUAUCAAGAUUCCUACAUUUUAAUGUUCUAGUUUGGGAAUGAAAAAUUUCCCCUCUCCUGAAACUAUGUAGUUAUGUUUUUAUUUCCUUUAUGCACUUGAAUAAUUAUCUCAUAAAACUUGGAGUCUUCUAAUGAAAUUGACAGUUCUUUGUCACUUUUUUAAUUGCAAGAAUCACGUAAAACUGUAAUUAGAUACAAGACAAUUAAUUAUUAUUAAUAAUUUUUGUAAUAACAAGUUCAAAUUAUUGUAAUAAUAAUAUCAAAAAUAAUAAUUAUUGUAAUUAUCAACAUUAAUUUCUAGAAAGUAAUCGUAAUAUCAUCUACGAAAUAUGUAAUGUUUCUUCUUUCGUAAGUUCAAGUCAUACUUAAAAAUAGUGUUCCAAUAUUAUUUGAUAUUAAGAGUAUUACAAUUUUCGUACUAUAUAAUUCUUAUUGUAACAUAUUCUGUUGUUAAGAAAUUUUUUCGUAGGAAGUUACAUCUACUUCCAUUUUCCUUAAAAACAUUUUCUUCAAACAUCGCCUUCUUAUCUUGUAAACAAGUAUAUAUUGCUUAAGUCACC